CAGCAGCCGCGGUAAUACCGGCGGCCCGAGUGGCGGUCACUAUUAUUGGGCUUAAAGCGUCCGUAGCCGGGUUGGGAAGUCCUCCGGGAAAUCUGGCCGCUUAACGGUCAGAAUGCCGGAGGAUACUCCCAGCCUAGGGAGCGGGAGAGGCCGAGGGGAUUCCCGGAGUAGGGGCGAAAUCCUAUAAUCCCGGGAGGACCACCUGUGGCGAAGGCGCUCGGCUGGAACGCGUCCGACGGUGAGGGACGAAGGCCAGGGGAGCAAACCGGAUUAGAUACCCGGGUAGUCCUGGCUGUAAACGAUGCGGACUUUGUGUCGGACAAGCUAUGAGCUUGUCCGGUGCCGGAGGGAAACCGUUAAGUCCGCCGCCUGGGGAGUACGGCCGCAAGGCUGAAACUUAAAGGAAUUGGCGGG
rnacentral:rRNA from 1 species